ensembl:lncRNA
AGUAAACUCCAGUGUACUAUAUGAAAAUUUGACUGAUAUUAUGGGAGGAGCUGGUUUUCCCCACCCAUCUCCACACUGAGUCCUGUGUUGUUUACUUGUGUUUCUCCUCAGAGUCCAUCCAGCAGAGCUGUCGUCCUCGUCACAGCUCAGAGACGCAAAGUCUAAUUUGAAGAUCUGAGCUGCUGGGACUCACAGUCGGACGAGCUGUGAGGGUUAAAAUGAAAAACUGGUGAUCUGUUAGCCUUCUGUCUUCAAGUGUCACUCAAAGAUUCAGAGAAUGUAGGAAAAUUUCUGCAUACCAGGAUAAAGCUACAAAACCGGACUGACUAUCACUUGUGACGCAGGCUCUUGGGCAACACUGUAUUAAAAACCGAUCUGGUUGUGUGAUGAAAAUCGCUGCAUGCUAAUCAGGCCUCAGGGCUCUGAAAUGCUGUCAUCACUCUGACUUCACUUUUCUCUUUUCAGAGUGAUCAGCUGAAGGCAUCUACCCGCCCACCCACACAUACAACUACAACUGUCGCACCCUUUGGUUAUCUGUGGGAAAUGUCUGCUGUAGCUUCUGCAUCUCUCUGCUGGACCUUGCUGUCUGUCUGCCUCCUGCUCGUCUCUGCAGAGCAGAAAACCAUCACAGCUGAGUCUGGACAGGACGUCACUCUGACAUGUCGAGGUCCAAACAACAACAUCACAGUUUUAGAGUGGAGCAGAGCUGACCUGGGAGAUGAAAAUGUGCUUUUGUACCACAAUGAUCGUUUUGAUCCAGACGACCAGCAUCCAUCUUUUAAGAACCGGGUGGAUCUGCAGGACAGACAGAUGAAGGAUGGAGACGUGUCUCUGAUUCUGAAGAAUGUGACGAUUAAUGAUGCUGGAACAUACGAGUGUCGUGUAAUCACAACAGGAACAAACCGCAGGAAGGGAGCUAAUCUGGGUGUCAGCAUCAUCCACCUUCAUGUUGUUCCUCCAGCUCAUCUCAGUGGAAGAGUUUCAUCUUUAAAAACAGUCUUUACAUUUCCGCUCUGUAGUUCACUGGAACAUCCAGAGGGCUGUGACUACAAAUCAGCUUCAACACAGUCAGACUGUCUUUGUGUUAGCUGGCUCAACUAAACCUGAAACUGCAGUCAGAGACAGCUCUCUACAACUGCUGUCAGCAAAAAGAACUUUUACAUCUUCAAACAAAUGAAGGCAACACUUGAACAUGAAAUAUUUUCACACCUGAAUGUUUCAAUCAAGAUCUGAUUUCAGUUUCUCUUUAUCUUUGUGAGCUGUGUGGUUUGUUUACCCUCAGUAUCCAUGAACAGUGUCACAGACCUGGGAUCAGUGUUUUUGUUUAUAAGAUCAAAUAUGACCUCAUUAUGUGAGUGUGAGCUUUGGACCACAAAACUUCAACAACACUAAUCCUCAAUCAGCUGUUUCAAUAAAAUUACAUCCAAGUAUAAACUGAUUCCAUCCUUCAUGCAUCACUUUGCUGCUGACAGAUGGUUAUAGGCAUUCCUGGUCGCUUGGGUAACCCUGUAAUGUAUUUACUACAUGUACAUUUGUCACUCAGCAGUACAAUUUAAUGUCAUUGGUAGUUGUUUCAGUAGUUCUCAAAGAUAAGAAAAGUUUACCUCGAUACUCCCUGACUUCACAUCAGUGAUCAGUUAUUUCUUCGUCUGAGUUGUGUUUAAAAAGUGUAGCUACUUGUUUUGUAUGUUUGACCAUGUAUGUAUGUUUGUGCUCUGACUGUAUUUUCCUGCUGCUCACACACAGCAUUAGAAAAGCUUGAAAACUCACUGUUUACAGAGUCUGUGAGCUCCAAAUGUUUGCAUGAAGGACAGAGAACAAAGAUCAGUGUGAAGGGUGUCUCUGUAUUUUGAACAAUAAACUAUUGGAUAAUUCUGAUCCUCUUAUUUCAUGAAUGAGUCUCAGUCACUUUGGUUUAAAUUAUUCAUUUUUUAAUUUGUUUCAUUGGCAGAGAAGCUAAAUCAUGUGAAUAUCAUCAUCAUGUCACAUGUGAACACAGAUUCAAAAGAUUUAAUAUCCGUGUCUUUGACAAUCGAGCCCACAGACGCCAAAACAAUGCCAGCAAAUGGAAACUGAAAAAACAAAUCUGUAAGCGAAAAAAAAGAUGUAAUUGUGAAAACUUAGUUAUGAGUUUUUUUGUUUUAAUGUCAAUAUUUACAGUUUCAAUUAAUCUUUUUUUUUAACAUCAAGACAAAUGUUCAAUACAUUUCAAUUACAAUAUUUUGUCAUGGUCCGGAGUCUGUGACUCCGUGUUUAUGUUAAGUUUAUUAUUAUUCUGUGGUUUUGGUUAUCUUGGGUUUUUGUACUCUCCUGUUUCACGUUUCUUGUUCCUAUGUCUGUGUCCCCCAGUCUGUGUUUAGUUGGUGUGUGUUGUGUUCAGUCGGUGUGUUUCCUGUUUUACUUUGAAGGUCUCUGUCUGAUGUCAGUGUGUUCUGUUUAUUUUUCCCUGCCUCGUCAGCUGUUAUGUCUCCCUGGUGUGUUUCCCUCCUGUUUCCCAUCCCCUGAAUACUGGUGUGUGUAUUUAUAGUGUGUGUUCCCUCGUCCUUGUUGCUGGUUCAUCUGUGUUAUUCCCCUCCGUCAUUCUGUGUAUUUUCCUCCAUCUUCUCCCCACGUUGUUCUCCCUCAUUCAUGUUCAGGUUUUGUUGUUUUAGUUUUCCCAGUUUAGAGUGUUUUCAGUUCUGUUUCUCGCCACCCUUUCUUUUGUGUUGUACAUCACUGUCACAAUAAAUCUCGCUCACCUCAGAAGCCACCUGCAUUUUGGGUCCUUUAGUAAUUCACACGGCUUGCCCUGGCAUCACGUGACAUAUUUGUUAAAGUGAAUUGUUAAAAGUUGUCAUUUUUAUGCUUACCAUCUCUACAUUGUUUCAAACACUGUGGUCAAAGGCAUUCCUUUGUCCCCCUCCCCAGCAUGUCGAUGGUGACACAAGCACAUCCCUUGUGAAGGUUUGUUUGUUGUUUGAUAAGCUUCCUGCCCUGUUAUGGCUUCACCUGUGUUGUGUAUGCUGAACCAAUACAGGAUACAACACACACACACACACACACACACACACACACACACACACACACACACACACACACACACACGUAUGACCAAGCUCUCCCUCGUUAGCAAGUAAAAGACUGGUUGAAGAUGUUCUUUCUUGGUUUUGUUCUUCAUGAGGAAUAAGUCUCUAAACUAGCGGGGCCUGUGGAAACACAGACUCAACAAUAUUAUUUUUCAGUUUCAUUUAAGGUGGCAUCGUUUUAACCUCAGCAAAACAAAAAAGUAACAGUAUAAAGAAAUGUGAAAAAAAACCCCGUCAUUUUCUGUGAAUUAACAAAAAUGUUAUUGUUACAACGCAUUCAGGAAAAUUUACAGUGGCUUUAAAAUCUUUGUACAGAGC